rnacentral:rRNA from 1 species
AUUGAACUCUGGCGGCAGGCCUAACACAUGCAAGUCGAACGAGUGGCGGACGGGUGAGUAAUGUCUGGGAAACUGCCUGAUGGAGGGGGAUAACUGCUGGAAACGGUAGCUAAUACCGCAUACCAUCGGAUGUGCCCAGAUGGGCUUCGCUAGUAGGUGGGGUAAAGGCUCACCUAGGCGACGAUCCCUAGCUGGUCUGACAGGAUGACCGGCCACACUGGACCUGGGACACGGUCCAGACUCCUACGGUAGGCAGGAGUGGGGAAUAUUGCACAAUGGGCGCAAGCCUGAUGCAGCCAUGCCGCGGGUAUGAAGAAGGCCUUCGGGUUGUAAAGUACUUUCAGCGGGGAGGCGUUACCCGCAGAAGAAGCACCGGGUAACUCCGUGCCAGCCGCCGCGGUAAUUC